CGGAGGGAAAAAUAAAGCGCCCGAUUAGCUCUGAUACCCCGAAACCCUUCCCCAUUUCGGCGGAAUCGCAUACCCAAAAUUCUAAGGUUUGAAGGUGUCUCCAAUUCGAUCCAAACUCUCGUCCAAGUAAUCUUCAACAAGCUUUGAGAAGGUAAAGGCUGAUUGCUUUAGGCCUCUUGAGCAUGCAUUCUCUUGAUUAUUGUUACCGAAACCCAUGCUUUGGAGUUCUCUAUGGUGCUGAUGGUAAAGUGCAUUUGUAUGAUAUGGAUGUCACUGAUGUUACUGUAGUCUGCACAACUUUGAAAGAGGAUUUCUAUGCAUUUAAACAAUUGCUUCGUCGUUUUAUCAGACUGAUAAAGUGGUGUGUUCAACAUCUAAGGGUUUGCAUUUGCAGGAUGGUGUCAAAUGCUACUUUGACUUGAUAUCUAACAUUAAGGGGUCGAACAUGUAUGUCCGAUAAAAUUUACUUU